UGUGAGCCCACAUUUUGGAGACAGAUCCCAGCAGAUGCCUCUUCAAGCUAUAUGGCCUGUCUGAGGUGGAAACCAAGCACAUGGAAAAACACUGUGCAAUGAGUUAACCUUUAAGUAAUGAAUUUCCCAGCAAGUGUCACCUUGGAGGGGCAGGAGACCAUCUAGGCUUAAAACAUAAACAAAUAGAAGAAAAUCUUCAAAACCCACAGGCAAGAGGAAUCAUGCAUCUCCCUGAGAAGACUGGGUAUAUGUUCCUUUCUGUCCCAACUCUGGACUACAUCUCUUCUCUCCAAUGUGAUUGCCAGACAGUGACCCUCUACAAGAACAUUGCCAGCUGGCAAUACUCAUAGCAGUUGUGUGUUUCUUUCAGCAGAGAUUUAAUGUAAAUUUAGUGGUGUCUGCUGUCCACAAUCAGGACAGAAACAUACUGUCACAAUUUCACUUGAAAACAUUGUUCAGGAAGAAACGAUGUUCUUCUUCAGGAAGAAGUUGGGAAUUCAUUUCUCCUUUGGACAUGCCCUUGGAAAGGUUAGGAGUUAAUUUAUGCAGUUCCCCAGGGCACCUACAAGGUGUUUUGGAAUAGGGUGAUCUUGAUUGAAUCCUGCUGUAUGCUUGCAGUUCAGGUCAAAUCAUGUUUCUCCUACUAGAUUAUUUCCCUUCUAGCAGUGGGGAGCUCCUGUAUGUGGAGUUUCCCAAAAAAGCUUUCAAUACUUCAUUAUGCUGACUGCCAGCAGAACUGCUGUGUGACCUCUGCAUGGGUGAAAUGGGCAUUUUUCAGUUUGUGGAAAAUGCUUGUAUCAAUCAGCAAUUCGAAGUGCAACAGAAAAAACGUCGUUUUCCUUCUGAUCAAUACAGUCUGAUUGUAGACAUUAGUCUUUGUUUUUGAGCCUGACUCUUUUGUGUCUUUUUAAUCCUCUUGAGCAGAAAGAAGAGUUUAAUACUGAAGAACCAUUUCAGCUAUGAAUUCCUAUAAGAUAACAGUUUAGAGUUGUAUAAAAAAAUGAUGUGGUGAGAAGAGGAUAUUUACAAAAUAAGCAUUUGCACUAUGAUCUCAAAAUACUUACUCUGGCCCCUAAAUCUCUCUAUCGAAUGUUUUUAUCCCUUUUCAUAUAUGUAAAUUUCCAUUUGAGAUUAGUCCAGUAAUUAAAUAGAAGUACCAGA